UACAGAGGUGGCAAGCGUUGUUCGGAAUUACUGGGCGUAAAGAGCUCGUAGGCGGCUCAUUGCGUCAACCGUGAAAACCAGCAGCUCAACUGUUGGCUUGCGGUUGAUACGGGUGGGCUGGAGUUCGGUAGGGGAGACUGGAAUUCCUGGUGUAGCGGUGAAAUGCGCAGAUAUCAGGAGGAACACCGGUGGCGAAGGCGGGUCUCUGGGCCGAUACUGACGCUGAGGAGCGAAAGCGUGGGGAGCGAACAGG
rnacentral:rRNA from 1 species